UCUUCGCUAGUAUAUCGGUUAGUAUAAUCGCCUCUCAUUACGUAAGAGAGAUUGCCCUCGGGUGUUCGCGAUAGAGCAGGGUUCGACUCCCUGGCGGAGAA